rnacentral:lncRNA from 1 species
GCUGGGUAGACUCGGUGAUAUCGGCGAUCGCCCCCGGGCCUCUCUUUCUAGCUGGGCUGGGAGUGUGCUGCUGGCUGGGUGUCCCCGGGUCGCUCUUUCUAGCUGGGCUGGGAGCAUGACUGCAUGGUAGGACGACUCGCGAUAUCUACCUCACUCACGGGUCCCUCUUUCUAGCUGGGCUGGGAGUGGACUGUUUGGUUGGGUGCCCCCUAGGGUCACUCUUUCUAGCUGGGCUG